rnacentral:rRNA from 1 species
UAGGGAAUCUUCGGCAAUGGACGAAAGUCUGACCGAGCAACGCCGCGUGAGUAAAGAAGGUUUUCGGAUCGUAAAACUCUGUUGGUAGAGAAGAACGUUGGUGAGAGUGGAAAGCUCAUCAAGUGACGGUAACUACCCAGAAAGGGACGGCUAACUACGUGCCAG